CCGCCUCUCCCCGCUCACCUGCCAGCGCCGAGGUGAAGCAGAAGGCGUCGUAGCGGUCGCGCUUCCGGUCGCGGGGCCCGUAGCUACGGAUACCAGGCCGACCGUGACCGCCGCACGGAGCGCGCGCGGCGGACGCCCGCAAUGACCAGGGAGGCGUCUAACCGAUGGCCCUUCCGCAUCCUGGCUCGCCCCCCCAGGGCCCCGUAGCCCCGGGCGUGCAGUCCGUUGGUGAUGAGGAUCGGCGUUUCCCGGAGCUCCCCUGGUUCCACUUUGCUCCAGCGUACCUUGAAGCUGGGCGGCGGGGUACCCAGGACGCAGGGCAGCGUGGUCGUGGCCCCACGACGAGAGUGAAUGACCUCGUGGAUGGGGGGCAGGAGGUGCCAUUUCCCAAGUCUUGCCAUCGGGAUUACCAGCUCCAGUCUCCAGCCUCCCAACAGCCAUUCCCAUCCAAAGUCAGAGUAAAUAUGAUCUGGUCACUUUCCUGCUUAAAACAGUGGCUCCCAUUUCCCUGGGGGUAAAGCC